CCUACGGGCGGCAGCAGUGGGGAAUAUUGGACAAUGGGCGAAAGCCUGAUCCAGCCAUGCCGCGUGUGUGAAGAAGGCCUUCGGGUUGUAAAGCACUUUCAGUGGGGAAGAAAGCCUUGGGGCUAAUACCCUCGAGGAAGGACAUCACCCACAGAAGAAGCACCGGCUAACUCCGUGCCAGCAGCCGCGGUAAUACGGAGGGUGCGAGCGUUAAUCGGAAUUACUGGGCGUAAAGCGCGCGUAGGCGGUCUGAUAAGCCGGUUGUGAAAGCCCCGGGCUCAACCUGGGAACGGCAUCCGGAACUGUCAGGCUAGAGUGCAGGAGAGGAAGGUAGAAUUCCUGGUGUAGCGGUGAAAUGCGUAGAGAUCGGGAGGAAUACCAGUGGCGAAGGCGGCCUUCUGGACUGACACUGACGCUGAGGUGCGAAAGCGUGGGUAGCAAACAGGAUUAGAUACCCUAGUAGUC
rnacentral:rRNA from 1 species